rnacentral:rRNA from 1 species
UUUAAUUGAAGAGUUUGAUCAUGGCUCAGAUUGAACGCUGGCGGCAGGCCUAACACAUGCAAGUCGAGCGGUAGCACAGGGAGCUUGCUCCUGGGUGACGAGCGGCGGACGGGUGAGUAAUGUCUGGGAAACUGCCUGAUGGAGGGGGAUAACUACUGGAAACGGUAGCUAAUACCGCAUAACGUCUUCGGACCAAAGAGGGGGACCUUCGGGCCUCUUGCCAUCAGAUGUGCCCAGAUGGGAUUAGCUAGUAGGUGAGGUAAUGGCUCACCUAGGCGACGAUCCCUAGCUGGUCUGAGAGGAUGACCAGCCACACUGGAACUGAGACACGGUCCAGACUCCUACGGGAGGCAGCAGUGGGGAAUAUUGCACAAUGGGCGCAAGCCUGAUGCAGCCAUGCCGCGUGUAUGAAGAAGGCCUUCGGGUUGUAAAGUACUUUCAGCGAGGAGGAAGGCAUUGUGGUUAAUAACC